AUUCCAGCUCCAAUAGCGUAUAUUAAAGUUGUUGCAGUUAAAACGCUCGUAGUCGAAGGUUAGACAAGGGGGUGUGGUAUGCUUUUGGCAUGACUGUGCCUGCUGAGUCUUUAGAUGGGGGAUGGGGGUGGGAGUCAAUCUCAUUUUCGAAACCCAGGAUUACUGUGAAGAAAUUAAAGUGUUCAAAGCAGGCGUUUGCUUGGAUACGUUAGCAUGGAAUAAUAGGAUAGGACCGUGGUUCUAUUUUGUUGGUUUAGGACCAAGGUAAUGAUUAAUAGGGACAGUUGGGGGCAUUAGUAUUCAGUAGUCAGAGGUGAAAUUCUUGGAUUUAUUGAAGACUAACUAGAGCGAAAGCAUUUGCCAAGGAUGUUUUCAUUG
rnacentral:rRNA from 1 species